rnacentral:rRNA from 2 species
GGACAGUGUCUGGUGGGUAGUUUGACUGGGGCGGUCUCCUCCUAAAGAGUAACGGAGGAGCACGAAGGUUGGCUAAUCCUGGUCGGACAUCAGGAGGUUAGUGCAAUGGCAUAAGCCAGCUUGACUGCGAGCGUGACGGCGCGAGCAGGUGCGAAAGCAGGUCAUAGUGAUCCGGUGGUUCUGAAUGGAAGGGCCAUCGCUCAACGGAUAAAAGGUACUCCGGGGAUAACAGGCUGAUACCGCCCAAGAGUUCAUAUCGACGGCGGUGUUUGGCACCUCGAUGUCGGCUCAUCACAUCCUGGGGCUGAAGUAGGUCCCAAGGGUAUGGCUGUUCGCCAUUUAAAGUGGUACGCGAGCUGGGUUUAGAACGUCGUGAGACAGUUCGGUCCCUAUCUGCCGUGGGCGCUGGAGAACUGAGGGGGGCUGCUCCUAGUACGAGAGGACCGGAGUGGACGCAUCACUGGUGUUCGGGUUGUCAUGCCAAUGGCACUGCCCGGUAGCUAAAUGCGGAAGAGAUAAGUGCUGAAAGCAUCUAAGCACGAAACUUGCCCCGAGAUGAGUUCUCCCUGAGACUUAGAGUCUCCUGAAGGAACGUUGAAGACGACGACGUUGAUAGGCCGGGUGUGUAAGCGCAGCGAUGCGUUGAGCUAACCGGUACUAAUGAACCGUGAGGCUUAACCUUACAACGCCGAAG